CCCUUUGUAGCUCAGUCAGUAAAGAAUCUGCCUGCAAUGCAGGAGACCCAGGUUCAAUCCCUGGGUCAGGAA
rnacentral:tRNA from 1 species